GGGAAUAUGGCUCAGUUGGUUAGAGCGUUGGUCUCAUAAGCAUGAUCCGGCGAUCCAAACGCCGGGGCCAUCCAAAGGUCGUGAGUUCGAACCUCACUAUUCCCA